rnacentral:tRNA from 1 species
GCCCUCUUGGUGGAAUAGGUAGACACAUCUGCCUUAGAAGCAGACAUGAAGUAAUAGUAGUGUAAGAGUUCGAGUCUCUUAGAGGGUA